GUGGGAUACUUAUCACUUUCGCUUAGCCACUGAAAUUGCUUCCAACAGCUAGUAUCCAUCGUUUACGGCGUGGACUACCAGGGUAUCUAAUCCUGUUCGCUACCCACGCUUUCGUCCAUCAGCGUCAAUCCAUUAGUAGUAACCUGCCUUCGCAAUUGGUAUUCCAUGUAAUCUCUAAGCAUUUCACCGCUACACUACAUAUUCUAGUUACUUCCUAAUAAUUCAAGUUUAGCAGUAUCAAUGGCCGUUCCACCGUUGAGCGAUGGGCUUUCACCACUGACUUACUAAACCGCCUACGGACCCUUUAAACCCAAUGAUUCCGGAUAACGCUUGGAUCCUCCGUAUUACCGCGGCUGCUGGCACGGAGUUAGCCGAUCCUUAUUCUUACGAUACCGUCAAGCUCCUUCACGAAGGAGUGUUUCUUCUCGUACAAAAGCAGUUUACAAUCCAUAGGACCGUCAUCCUGCACGCGGCAUGGCUGGAUCAGGCUUGCGCCCAUUGUCCAAUAUUCCUCACUGCUGCCUCCCGUAGGAGUCUGGUCCGUGUCUCAGUACCAGUGUGGGGGAUCUCCCUCUCAGGACCCCUACCCAUCGUAGCCUUGGUAAGCCGUUACCUUACCAACUAGCUAAUGGGACGCAUGCUCAUCUUUUACCGUUGUGACUUUAAUAGUAUCUCGAUGCCGAGUCACUAUGCUAUGAGGUAUUAAUCCAAAUUUCUCUGGGCUAUCCCUCUGUAAAAGGUAGAUUGCAUACGCGUUACGCACCCGUGCGCCGGUCUCUAUAUCCGAAGACAUAUACCCCUCGACUUGCAU
rnacentral:rRNA from 1 species